GGGAAUGUGGCUUAGUGGUAGGGUACUUGCCUAGCAUGCAUGGAACCCUAGGUUCAAUUCCUCAGUACCA
rfam:Dipodomys ordii contig_70517, whole genome shotgun sequence.